ACAGCGGAAGUGGGCCAAGAGGUAUAAAACUCGGGGAUUAUCUUUGGCUAAGACUGACGUUGAGAGCCUGGCAGCUGUGGGUUUGGACAUAACUGCUGUAAAGAGCUGUGAUAUUGCUUUCUCGUGUGGCGGGGAGAGCGGAGAGUGUGCCAUGAAAGCUUCGGGAACACUGCGAGAGUACAAGGUGGUGGGGUGCUACCUGCCCACCCCCAAUGUCGCACUCCGCCCCUGUAUCGCAUGCGAAUCUUUGCACCUAAUCACGUUGUCGCCAAGUCCCGCUUCUGGUACUUUGUGUCUCAGCUGAAAAAGAUGAAGAAGUCUUCGGGGGAAAUUGUCUACUGUGGACAGGUGUUCGAGCAAUCCCCCUUGUGGGUGAAGAACUUCGGCAUCUGGCUGCGCUAUGACUCGCGCAGCGGCACCCACAACAUGUACCGGGAGUACUGGGACCUGACCACUGCAGGCACCGUCACCCAGUGCUACAGAGACAUGGGUGCCCGACACUGUGCCCGGGCCCACUCGAUCCAGAUCAUGAAGGUGGAGGAGAUUGCAGCCAGCAAGUGCCGCCGACUAGCCAUCAAGCAGUUCCACGACUCCAAGAUCAAGUUCCCGCUGCCCCACCAGGUCCUGCGUCGCCAGCACAAGCCACGCUUCACCACCAAGAGGCCCAACACCUUCUUUUAGAUGCAGAGCCUCCCUGUCUCCAGGUCUGCUCAAAUAAACUCUUUGGGAAAACCAAAAAAAAAAAA